AUCACACAAUUGACAUUUCUUGAAGUGUUAAACUUGUCUCAAAAUCAUUUGAUUGGGCCCAUUCCUAGGAGCAACCAAUUUAACACUUUUGGAAAUGACUCAUAUGGAGGAAACCUCAAUUUAUGUGGAUUUCCAUUGUCAAGAGAAUGCAAUGACAACAAUAGGUCAAAUGAACACCAACAACAACAUGUUGAGUUGGAAGAUAAAUUCUUGAGUGGAUUUACUUGGAGAGCGGUAGUGAUUGGGUUUUGUUGUGGAAUGGUAUUUGGAAUCUUCAUGGAAAAUCUCAUGGCUCGAACUGGGAAGCCAAAAUGGUUGUUUGUGACUUUCUACGGGAAUAAGAUACGCAAAACCGUUCCAAGGAAUGCUUGAAUAUGCUAAUGUUAAAAGGAUGAAUUUGUUGCUUUUUACAAAAGCGUCACAAAUAAUGUGAGGCUUGUGCAGUUUUAAUAAAUGCUGGCCAAGCUAAUGCAGCCACGGAAAUUGGUUUUUAAUUUCAAUUUAGAAAGCUUUGCUUUAUGCUUGGUUUAAGGAUCCAGCCCUGUUUUGAUAUGCAUGCAUGUGCUUAAUUAUCUUCAGACUCUACAUAAAGUUUCUCAUCUUCCAAUUUAAUAAGCAUUAUAAAUAAAAAUAGUUUUAUCU